ACUUUUAAUUUUUGGAGGACCUUGCAUGCUGAGUUAGGUACUAGAUUGGAUCUUAGUACUGCAUUUCACCCUCAGACUGAUGGGCAGACUGAGAGGACAAUUCAAGUGCUGGAGGAUAUGCUUCGUGCGUGCGUGAUAGACUUUGGUGGUUAUUGGGAUCAGUUCCUACCCCUGGCAGAGUUUUCGUACAAUAAUAGCUAUCACUCGAGUAUUGAUAUGGCUCCAUUUGAAGCAUUAUAUGGGAGGAGAUAUAGGUCUCCUAUUGGUUGUUUUUAUGCGUUUAAGGUGAGACCCUGGGGAACUGAUCUUUUGAAGGAAUCACUAGAGAAGGUGAAAUUUAUUCAGGAGAAACUUCUAGCAGCUCAAAGCAGGCAGAAGGAGUAUGCAGACUAAAAGGUCAGGGACAUAGAUUUUAUGGAGGGAGAGCAAGUGUUGUUGAAGGUUUCACCCAUGAAGGGUGUGGUGAGAUUCGGUAAGUGAGGUAAGCUCAGUCCGAGGUAUAUUGGGCCGUUUGAAGUCCUUAAGCGUGUUGGAGAGGUGGCCUAUGAAUUGUCUUUGCCUCCAGGUUUGUCUGGAGUGCAUCCAGUGUUUCAUGUGUCUACGCUAAAGAGAUAUCAUGGUGAUGGAAACUAUAUUAUUCGCUGGGAUUCGGUCUUGCUUGAUGAGAAAUUGUCUUAUGAGGAGGAGCCUGUAGCAAUUCUUGAUAGGGAGGUCCGUAAGUUGAGGUCAAGAGAGAUUGCGUCUGUGAAGGUCCAAUAGAAGAAUCGUCUGGUUGAGGAGUCCACUUGGGAGAUUGAGGCUGAUAUGCGUGGAAGAUAUUCACAUUUGUUCGUCGAGUCAGAUUGGAAAAGUUUUGAGGCAUUGAAGAAAGGAAAAGCGUUGGUCAAUUAGCUUGCUUGAUUUUGGUUCUUCGAUUGAGGAGCGAUUUUAGUGAUUCAUCUUCAUCAGGAUUGUGGACUGUAUUUGCUUGCUUUUGCGGAGUAGUUGAGAGAUGGCGAAGGUAUUUCUGUUGAAACCACUAAAGCUGAGUUACUUUGUAUUAAAUAUGGUGCACUACUAUGGAAGUGUGUUGCAAAGAAGAUUGACAAUGGGGUUGUUAGCGACAAUGUGACACCGCAAAAAAUGAUCAGGAAGCCAUGCAUUGAAAGCAACAGCAGUGAACUUAUCAUAAUCAACUAGUAGAAUGUUUAAGAUUUUUUGAAACCACCAAUUUUGUUUUGGAUAAUACAUUUUAGUCAUUUUUGAUUUAAGGCAUGAAAGUAUUUUACGUAA